rnacentral:lncRNA from 1 species
CGCAACCGUCCGGCCCAGCCUAAGUCCGACGAGCUCGAGCGCCGCCGCCGCCGCCGCCCCCGCCACCGCGUGCGUGACUUCGCUCGAGUUUCGCCACCGAUCCCCUGGAUCAACCACAUCGCGCGCUCACGCACGAGCUCCGCGCGCCGCCGUCAGCGCCCACCGCGACCUCCGCGCCAUCGGAGGCCAUCGCUGUCCCUGAGGUCCCGAGGGCCACCGCCGUCCGCCGCAGUGCGGUCAAGCGUUCUUCGGGAUAAAGAGUAUAGCAAUUUCUACCUCCGAGCCACUGGGAAGGCCGCAGUCGAUGCUUAUGAAGUCCUCAACUGUGAAGAUGUAGAACAAUACCAUUUAUAUAGCCAGUCCGGCACUUGGGAGCCAUGUAUAACGAGCAAGAAGAAGAGGGAGAGGAAGAAGGUAAAAUAA